CCCUGCCAUUUGUACACACCGCCCGUCGCUACUACCGAUUGAAUGGUUUAGUGAGUUCCAUGGAUUGUGCCGCCUCCCGGCAACGGGUAGCGGCGUGAGAAGUGGCACAAACUUGACUAUUUAGAGGA
rnacentral:rRNA from 1 species